CUGUCCAAUCCUUUCAGGUGUCUUUCCAGAUAAAUUGUUGUAUGACACAUUGAAGUAUUCCAGGAAAUGUAACACCGCAAAUUCGGCAGGGAUAUUCCCUGUCAAAUUGUUGUAGGAAAGAUCUAGACUUUCCAUGUCCAUGAGGUUAGAAAAUGCAUGUGGCACUGGUCCGGUCAAGCUAUUGUGAGAAAGGUUCAAUGUGAAGAGUUUCAUAAUGUUUUUUGUUUCAAAACUAAUUUCACCGGUAAGCUUGUUGCAGGAGAGAUCAAUUCCAGACAUGUAUUGAAGCAUUCUUCUCUUGUAAUUGUAGGAUCUGCUCUUUACUGUGUAUUCUAUUGAAACUUCAUUGGCCAUCGAGUUAUUUAUGCUGUAAUAAAUACUUCGAUGCCUAAUAUAUUGCUCAGUUACAUAGUUCAGCGCAGCAACUCAUAAACAAGAAGGAAUACCACCAGAGAGAUUAUUUUGAGAAAGAUCAAUCAAGCUUAAACGAUCCAACUUGCAUAAUUGAAUUGGAAUUGCACCCUCAAAGUGGUUUCUCCUUAAGAGAAGAUAACUUAAUUCAUAAAGAUUGCUAACCCAAUUUGGAAUGUUACCCUUCAAGUGGUUGUAGCUGAGAUCCAAUGUCACCAACGAAGAGCUAUCAUGAAAAGCAUUUGGUAACGCUCCUUGUAGCUUAUUUUUAAAUAAAUGAACUUCCUUCACCGAUACCGGCUUGAAGCAAGAUGGUAGAGUCCCAGAUAAACUGUUCAUGGAAAGGUCCAAAAAUUGGAGUUUGAGAUUGAGACUACAAAUUGCCCUUGGUAUUGAACCUUCAAGUUGAUUAUCUGCCAUGGAAACUAGUGCCAAAUUCGAAGCAUUUCCCCUCCAUUGUGGCAACCUACCAAAGAGUUGGUUCCUGCUCACAUCCAAUGAUGCCAGCUCUGACAUAUUCCAAAUCCAACUUGGGACUUCACCAUAGAUAUAGUUGUUGCUAAGAUCUAGUAUAUUCAAGCCAGAGUAAGCUAAGACAUUUGGGAUCAUCCCAGUGAAGUUAUUUCCAUUUAAUUGGAGCUCCAACAAGCUCUUUAGAUUAAAAUUUCCUGAGAAAAUUGAUCCUUGUAAUUUGUUAUUUGAUAAUACAAGUACCUGUAAUGAAGAGCAGCCUAUAGCCAUGUGCUGAGGUAUCUCUCCAGAUAAUUGGUUGUUUGAUAAGUCCAAAACUUGUAGGGAACUCGUAUCACCAAAAGAAGAGGGAAUGCUGCCAUUGAAAUAAUUCCUUGACAUGUUCAAAUAACGCAAAAAUGGUAGGUGUGCGCCCAUUCUUACUGGGAUGUUGCCACCGAAGGCAUUGUUGGAGAUAUCCAAACGUGAUAAAGCAGAAUGCACACGCGAUGGCACUUGAAAAGGCCCUGAUAGAGAGCAAUUCACGAGAUUCAGGGUCAUUAGCAUCGUGUUGUUUUCCAACAACCAAACCGGAAAUCGAUCCACCUUGAAAUAUAUGUCUGAGAGAGAAACCUCCUGCAAUUCACUUUGAUGGUACAAGAAUUUUGGAAAUGGCCCACCACUUCCACAACAAGUUAAGCUGAUGGAACUCAAUUGGAACCUUGGAGCCGAAGAAUGCGACAUCUCAUGAUCAUCAGCAUGUAUGGUGUUGUUAUCUGCAUAGAGGUACUUGAGUUUUGAAAGGUUGAACAAGGGUCUUAAUGAGCUUGGGAUGUGAAAUUUAUUGUUUGAAACAUCCAACGAUUGGAGGGAUGUUAGACUUUCAAGGGCAGAUAUAUUUCCAGAGAAUUGAUUAGAAGAGAGGCCCAAAGAUUCAGAGAAUUGAUUAGAAGAGAGGCCCAAAGAUUCAAGCAAUGUUAGGCUCUGAAGGGCAGAUAUAUUUCCAAAAAACUGAUUAGAAGAGAGGUCCAAAGAUGCAAGCAAUGUUAGGCUCUGAAUGGCAGAUAUAUUUCCAGAGAACUGAUUAGAAGAGAGGUCCAAAGAUUCAAGCAAUGUUAGGCUCUGAAGGGCAGAUAUAUUUCCAGAUAACUGAUUAGAAGAGAGGUUCAAAGAUUCAAGCAAUUUUAGGCUCUUAAGGAUAGAUAUAUUUUCGGAAAACUGAUUGGAAGAGAGAGAUAACAUUUUAAGGGAGGUGAGGUUGGAGAAACACAUGGGUAAGCUACCCUUUAGAUUACAGUCUUGCAUGUUCAACUCUUGGAGAUUUGUCAAUUCACAGACAUCUGCAAAAGUAGUAGUAUAUAUGUAUAUAUUUAAGGAGUUUACAAAUAGGUACAAAUCUAAAUAAUAAAUAAAAUAUGUUGAAUUAAUUAGAAUAAUAAUCAAUUCAAUAUAAAAUAUUCAAGAGUGAAAAUUAGAAUAUAUUAUUUGGGAGAGAAUCUACACGUGAUGGGAUUCGAAUCUAGGCAUUCAAGAUGCUAAGCCUUAAUUCUUUGCCUUUAGUGUGUUUAACCAUUUUUCUUUGGUCCAUAAGGUUUGUAGAAUUUAAAGUUUUAGCCUUUCUAGUUGUGAAAUUAUAAAUUUAAAGACUAAUUGGUGUAUUGUUAAUAAAUUUCUAUUAAAUUAGAAUAUAUGCAUUUUAAUAUUCAAAAAAAUAGAAGUAGUUAAUUUUUUUUAUUUAUAUAUAAAAUCAAAAUUAUAAAGUAGAUUUGAAUAUCCUUCCUUUAUGGCUUUAUGUGAAUAAGUAAAGCAAAUUCACAUGUAUCUAUCCAUAUCCAUUUUGAAUCUGAAUAUUAUCUGAAUUUAUAGCAUUCGAAUAUAAAAGAAGCAUGUCAAAUUUAUAGAUAUAUGAAUCUAUAAUCCGAAUUACCACAUCUAAGAGAAAUUAUAUUUCAAAAUUCAAAAAGCAGCACAUUUAUAUAUAUUAAAUCUAGAAAUAUAUAAAAACUAAAAUGAUGAGUAACUGAAAAUAGAAUAUUUACCAUGCAUAGGUGGACUGUUGUUACCAUCAAUACCAAAGGCGGUCAAUUUUUUAAGAGAAAUGAGUGGUCCAAAAACUUGAAUAAAGUUUGAAGGUAAAGAUGAAUGAGACAACUCCAACUCUUCCAAACUUCUUAAAUUUAGGCCUUCUGUUCAAUAACAUUAACUGCAAGUUAUAUUUUGAAAAAAAUUAUGAGAAACAAUGUAUAUUUAUAAAACUACGAAGAAAAUAAGGAUUUGAAAUUAUGAGUUUCAUCCUGUUCUUUUAUUUUACAUAAAUUGAGAUGUUAGCUUUUUCUAUUUUAAUUUGUCAAAAUUUGGUUAAUGUAGUUUGUGUAAAUUAAGAAGCUAGUCUAGUUAUUGGUAAUAAUAUAUAUUCUCAUCUUUACAUCCUUUUAUAAUUGUUUUUUGAAAAGAGAUCCUGCAGAAUGCAUUAGUUUGACGGAAAAUUACAACGUUAAAAAACAAUUUCCUAAAAAGCCUUAAACGGCACCUUAGCAUCCUUUCAUAAAUUAAAACUACUAAAUUAAUUAAUCAAAUUUUAUUCUUAAAUCUAGAAAAUGGAUUUAAAACAAAAAUUUGACAUUGAAAGUGUAUAUUAUCAAGUAUAUAUAGUUAAGGACAAUUUGAAAUAAAAAAUGACUUAAAAUCAAAUAAAUAUUAUCAUAAGAGGGAAAUUGAAAGAAUGAAAUUACCUUGUCGAGUGAGGUUUUUGUUGACGUUACAGUACAACAACUUUAAACGCUUCAAAGAAGUAAAGUCUGCUGUAACAGAGGCUUUCAAUAUCAAAUAUGUGUGAGAGAGGGAAAGGCAAAGAUAUUAGUGAAAUAUCCCAACAAAAAUAAAUUAGUCUCUCUACGCUCUACUCUUAAUCUCGGAAAUUUAAUCUCUCUAUUCAUUUGAUUUAAUAAUUGAAAUCCAACUGAUAACAUUAUCAAAGGAUUUUCGUUAAAUUGAAUUACAUGGCUUUUUUAAUAUGAAAUAUUUACUCACGUGGCUAACUGUAUUUUGCAGAUUAUAACAUUGUUUGCAAAUGCUUAAAAUGUGUAAUAAUUUGAUCGAACAAAAAAAAAGUUUACAUGACUGGAAGGCCAAAUAAACAAAAAUAAAUGUUGAAUCUAGUAUCGUAAGAUUUUCGAUUUCGAAAAUGAGAAGAGUAUAAGGACUGCAUGCAUAAUUAGACCUACAUGUAUAAAUUAAGUUUGUAAGAAAACAUCAAAACUUACUAUUGCGGGAAUAAGAAGCCAUUGAGGUUUCAUUAAUAUUAAAUCCUCCUAAAGAAAGAGUGUUCAAAGUGGGGAAGAAGCCCAAUGAUUGUAAUGAGAAGCUACAACCUGCAUCUGCAUCUGCCUCUGUAUAUGCAUCUGCAUGUCAAACAAUGCUUUAUUUCAUUAGAAAAUGUGUAAUUAACAAGUCAGGGCAAAUAAAACAAAUCUUUAUUUCUGUUUCCUCUUCUUCAUAUCUAUAAAUUUUAUAGUUUACCUCCCCAAAGUAGAGUUUAACAUUACCUGUAAAGCAGGCCAUAUUUCUUUUUUCUUUUGACUUUAAUAGUAAGAUGACUUUUAAAUGAUUUCUUUUUCUUUUUUUUUUCUCUCAAAAUUUUAAUUUUUGCAUUACCUAUAUAGCUGGCCAUAGUCAGCUCUUCCAAAUUGCCAAAACCAUAUAAAUCUGAGGAGAAUCAGAAAUUGGAAAAUAGUUUAGUUCAAAUAAAGCUUAUGAAUUUAUAUAUCUCAUUCAAUAAUUCUUUUCUUUUCCUAAGAAAAAAAAACAGAGGAUGGAGAGAAGGGUGAUUUUUACCUUUCAUAUCGAUUAAUCCAUUGCAUUGAGAGAUAUCUAUCCUCAAUGUCUUUAGAUUCGGAAGUGUAGCAAGAGAUGGCAAUAUACUAUUUUUGAAACCAUUAACACUCAAAUUAAGAUGUUUCAAAUUCAUCAGCCUUAGUCCUGCACCAUUAUCAAGUAACAACAUUUAUAGUUAUUUUAUUCCUUAAAAUAUUUAUUUUUUAAAAAUUUGACACGUGCCUUUUUUUUAAAUACUUUAUUAUAUCUCUAUAGGACACUUGUCAACCCAACGACUUUACUUAUGGAGUCUAAAAUCUCCACCAGUAAUAUACUAAAUAUUUUCCCUAAGUUUAUAAUAAAUUUAACAAUAACAAAAUUUUAAAAAAAUAAAUUUAAUGUUAAAUUGAAAAUUAAAAAAAAUCAUAAAUACCUUGAGAUGGAAUCAAAAUUAUCGGAUAAGAUCAACUCCUCUAAAUUGCUGAGAGCAUUUAAAUCUGAAGAUAACGUUAAAAAGGAAACUAAAAAUAACUUUAUUUUGCUUAGUAUAUUAAUUUAAAUAUUUAAAGCAUUCAUAAUGGGAACUAUUCAUUAAGCCUACUACAUUAUUUGAGUUUCAUUACUAUUAAAUCCUCCUAAAGAAAGAGUGUUCAAAGUGGGGAGUAAGCCCAAUGAUUGUAAUGAAAGGCUUUAGAUUUGAAAGUGUAGCAAGAGAUGACAAUAUAUUACUAUUGAAACCAUUAAUACUCAAAUCAAGAUGUUUCAAAUUCAUCAGCCUUAGUCCUGCACCUUUAUCAAGUAACAACAUUUUUACUUAUUUUAUUUCAUAUAAUAUUUACUUUUUAAAAAUUUGACACGUGUCUCUUUUUAAAAUAUUUUCUUAUAUCUCUAUAAGACACUUGUCAACCCAAUGACUUUAAUUAUGGAGUUUAAAAUCUCCACCAGUAAUAUAUCAAAUAUUAUUUCCUAAGUUUAUAAUAAAUUUAAUAAUAACAAAAUUUUCGACUAAGUUUUGGCCUAACUUGAAUGGGUUUAUUCAGUUCAACUUAUGAAAUUUCUAUUAUCAAUGGUAAAUAUUAAGUUAAGUGUUCAAAUAGAGAUGAAACUUUUUAUGAGUUGCACAUGAAUUAAAACUUUAAACAUAAUUAAGUAAAAGGUAAGUCUACCUCAUAUAAGAGAGAAACCUUACACAAUGACCAAAUAAGAGUUGAACCUUUUCAAUUGUGCUCAAAUAAGAAUUUUUCAAAUACCAUAUAAUAUAUUUGAAAUUAUGUUUUUUUUUUUAACUUUUCAAAUAAUAUCUUAUUAAACCGUGUGUGUUUUAUUCUAAACACGUUAGCAUUCAUCUAAUUUUUACUUUCAAAAGGGCAUAACUUUUUUUUACCGUUUUGAAAGGUAGGUGCUUGCAUAUAAAUAUUAACAAUUUAUUUAACAUAUGUCUAGUUAAUUGGAAAAUGGAUGAAAAGCAUUUAAUUGUGAAAGGAAAAUUACAAAUAAAACUAAUAACAAAUCAUAUAAAAUCAAAAGAUAUCAUAUUCUUACCUUUUGUAUAAAUUGCCCCCUCCAAUUGGUUAUCAGAUAAAUCUAAUGACUUCAAAUUUGAGAACUCAACAAGGGAUGAGAAUAGGCUAUUGUUCAAGAGAUUACCAUUUAAACUAAGUACCUCAAGUUUGUUGAACUUCAUUCCUUCUUUUUCUGAAAAGAAAAAAAAGUUAAUGUAAUUUCAUCUUAAAAAAAGAUAAUAUGUUGGAACAACAAUUAAUUAAGCAAGUGAUUUACCAUGGAAUAGUGACCCAAGGCUCUCAAUUUCAUUUCCCUCUAAAUACAGCUCCUUCAAGUUCAUCCAAUUAUUAUUGCUUUCUGUUCAUAUCCAAUGAAAAUAUAUGUUAGUUAAUCAAGUUAUUUAGAAAGAGAUAAUAUAACAUUUAGUCCCUAAAUUUUGUAAUUUUCUCCAACUUGGUCCUUGACCUGUUUUUUGUCCACAUUAGUCUUGGAAUUUAACAUCUUUCCAUAGCUUUGGCCAAUGAGAUGAUGUGGCACUAUGAGAUUGUGUCACGUCAUCACCUAAAUUCUUGAAAAAUUGCUAAAUUCCAGGACUAAUGUCGACCAAAAAAGUUUAUAGACUAAGUUAGAAAAAAUUACUAAAUUCAAGGACUAAAUCUUGCUUUACCCUUAUAAAAACAACUAACUAAUAAACUUUCUAUUUUUUUUAAUCAAAUUAAGCAUGAUAUUCAAAAAAGAAACAUGCCUUGUAUAUCAAGGGUUCCUUUUAGUCCGCAAUACUCAAUACACACUGGUGUCAUAGUGGCAAAACCAUCUAUAUUUCCAAAACUGUUGUAAGAUAAAUCCAAAGUUUCCAAAUUAUUCAACUUUGAUAACAUCUCAAUACCUGCCAACAAUAAUAUUAAAAAAAAAAAAAGGAGAAAACUAUUUUAAACUUGGAUAAGCUUUGCAUCAUAUACAAUUUAAUACUUUUACCAUUGGUAGGAUUUGAUCUUGUGAAUACAUUGUAAGCUAGAUUUAAAGACUUAAGCGAGGAAAGUUCACUUAAGGAUGCUAAAAUGCUAUUGUUGAAAUGAUUGUCACUCAAGUCAAGAUUCUCCAACUUAUCCAAUUUCGAUGACAACCUUUCAAAACCUACAAGGAAUAAGGAAAUAUAGUAAAUUAGCAAUGUCGGGGGACAGGGUCUUAGCUCCAAAAAAUAUGGUAAAUUUUCAGUUUAGUCCUUACCAAAACUGUAAAUUGAUGCAAUAAUACAAUUUCAUUUCAACAAUGAACAAGUAGUUGAAAUGAUUUUUUUGACAUACAAAAUAAUAAAAAGAAAUAAAUAUUUGUAAUAAAGUUGAAAGGUAAUAAACCCUGAUUGGCAACACAGCCGGUUAUGAAAUUCCCACUUAAAAGAAAGAUUCUGUAAUUUCUCAAAAGGAAGAAACAAAGAGGCAUUAAGAUACCAAUCUCUCUUCAUGUUGCUGGAAUAAUUAAGGAAAAGAUGGGUGACUCGUCCACUUAUUGGGUUGCAUUCAACCCUUUCCCACUCACAACAAUUUGAUGAACUCUCUUUUUCCGGUUUUGACUCAUAGUCUAGAUCUUGAAACUUAUAAUCAAUGAACGCAAAGAAAGGUUUGAGCUGGAAUAGAGCAAAUCUUUCCUCCUCUAAGCACCCAUCACACAGCCCAGAACCUAACGAUAACACUACAAGAACCAUGGCUAACCAUUUCGACUCCAUCUCAGCAGUACUUUAUGCAUUUGUAGCCAAUGCUGCAACCCCUUGUGCUUUAUAUGCUACAACUGAAAGGAAGAAUCCCCUCAUGCUUCCAAGAAAUUCAUUCAUAAGGGUCCACUUAUCACUUAAAUGGUAUACUUUUUUGUUUUUCAACUUCAUUAUUAAUUAUUUUUCAUGGAACCUCUUAUUUCUCUCCUCUAUUAAUUUGGAUGUGAUAAAAUAUUGAUAAACUAAUAUCAAAUAUUCUCUAUAUACUUCGGGGUUUAAAUAUGUUCCUAUCAAAUUUGAAUUGAUAAUUAAUGCUGAACUUUAAGAUAAUAGAAAGACUUCAUUGAUACAAUACUCAACAUAAUUAUAAAAUUUAUAAAUAAAAUUUUUUAAAAUGAUUUAUGUUGGAUAUUGUUUAUGAUGCCUGUUUAUUGUAACUUCCUUAUGAAGGUGGAAAAUGUAGAUUUUUGUUUCGAUAGUUUGAAUUAUUAUUGAGAAGACCUUGACUUAGAUGAUAGCAUAGUAAGGACAUGUUUGAUUGUGAAAUUGUAAUGCAAAACCACAGGUAGAAGGCAUUUAUAACCAUUGAUUUCAGACAAACCAACAUCGUAAAGAAUGUGUGGUUGUAUGUCCGGUGAAUUGGUUGAAGAGUGAUGUGGGUACCAUUUGCAUUCCAUGUAUAAGAGGGAAAAUUCAAAGUAAACGCUGGAUUCUCACGAUUAUGGAGCCCCCCAAAUUGACAAUGAUGAUUGUUUAAAUUACAAACGUCCAAACUAAGUUAAGCUUCUGGGGUCUCUGCAUUUCAUUUUUCCGGAAUUAUAAUUUAUAUUAUUUAAUUCAUAUUAAAAAAUUAUGAUUUAAUUCUUAUUUAAAAUUUAUUAAAUAAUAAUUAAUUUUUAUCAUAUAAUUAUAAAUUAAAUUCUAUAAAAGGUAAUUAUUUGAUACACCCGUCUGUGUAAUUUUUUAGAUUCCAUAAGUGGGUUGAGUGUGUGGCAAGUGUUACAUUUUUUUUAUAUAAUUAGUUUUUUUAAUUUCUACCAUACCCUAUAAUACACUUGUCAAACCUUUAAUCCAUUUGUGGACUUAUUUAAACUUUUUAUUUUUUAUUGUACCAAAUAUAUUAUAUUUUGUUAGACAUAAAAAUUAAAUUUAAUAUCUUAAAUGGACUCCUAAGUUAUUUUAUUGAUGAAAUAUUUUUAAAAAAAUUAUUUAAAAGAUUUACAUUUCUCCAAGCUAUUUCCCAAUUCGUGGCUUAAAUGAUUUACAUUUCUCCAAGCUUUAUUAUUUACAUGUGAUUUUACGUGUUUAAUAUUUAACUAUUUUUAAAUAUUGUACUUUCAACCACAAUAAUUAAUAUAAAGUAAUUUUUUUUAUUUGAAUUAUUAGAUAUAAUUAAAAUAUAUUAAAUUAUGAAUUCAAAUAUUUUAAUAGAAUUUUUUGAGUCAAUUUUAAUAGAAAUUUUUAAAAAAACAAUUAACACAUUUUUAACGUAUAAAAUAUUACUUUAUUUAAUUAAUGUAAAAUAAUAUUAUUCAAGAUAAUAACUAAUUACAUAAUUACCUCUAAUAUUAAUUAAGUGUGAUUAAUAUGCAUAAAAUUUUAUUCAAGUAAUAAGUAUAUUUUAUAAUCAUCACAAUUGUUAACUAAGAAUUGCAAUCUAAAUUCUUAGUAGUUCUAAAUAUGUAAUACAUAAAUAAAAAACCUUUUUAAAAAUAUACUAAUAUUUAACCUUGAAUUUCAUAUAUUUGAAAUGUUUGGAUACUAUAUUUUUUAAAUUUCGUGUGGAAAUUUUGACUUUUGCUUCAAUAGAUAGAAUUAUUAUUGAAGAGAUCUUUACUUAAGUGAUGGCUUGUUGAAUUAUAAAAUGGGUUUAUUACUAAGUGAAUUUACUAAAUAUUUGUUCAGACUCUUCAUUUCCUUUUUAAAGUACGCGUUUACGAUAUUCAUAUCAGCCGCAUAUUCAGACAUAAAUACAGAAAUAUAAUGUUACAAAUAAGUGAAAAAAUUUUUAAAAUAAUUAAAUACCGAAUAAAUACCCAUAUUGAGAAAGUUGUACUUGAGAGUAACAAUUUUGACAAAUAAGAAGUUGAGUGGUUCAAUUUAUCACAAUUUCACAUUAUAUUUUUGUCUAUUAAAUAAUCAUAACAAACAUAAUUCACUUUCAAAAAUUAGGUAAAUUGCAAAAGCAACAAAGUUAACUUAAAGGCUAAAUAUGUCAUAGGUUCUUAUACUUUUCAUAAUUUCAAAUUUUAGUUCCUUCUAUUUUUAUAUUUCAAAAUUUAGGUCAAAUUGUUAACACUGUUAAAAUUUUUUAAUUAAAUUUAUUGAUGUAACAUUUUGAAAUAAAAAAAAUAUUCAUUUAAUAACAAUGUAACUAAAAAAAUAAUAUAAUGAAUCUGAAUUUAUUUUAAUGUAAUAUAACUAAAAAAAAAUCACUUGAUGCUUGAAUGGCAGAAUAGAAAUGGGAGCAAGAAAUGUUUGAUGGCAACAAAAGGUAUGGCAAGAUAGUACUUUAGGUUUUGUAAAAUAUAGGUUUUAGAGUUAGUUUGGCAAAUCUAAAUCUUGACGAUGAAGAGGAGGAGUUGAUUCUUUGUGAAAAAGAUCUGAAUGAUUUAGAAGAUGACUAUUGAUUUUGUUUGGUAGAAAAAGCUGUAACGGAGUGUGUGGUUCACUUUCCCUCUCUAAUGUUAAACGCUAUUAAUGAUGGUUUUUUAUGAAGUUUUGUUUGAAGGUCGUGGAAAUUUAAAUUUUUGUUUUGAUAGAUUGAAUAAUUAUUGAGGGCUUAGGAGAUGGUUUGUCUACAUGAUAGUGUAGUUUUUUUUUAAACAUUGCAAUUUACCUCUUCCAUCCAAGUUAACAACAGAUCAAAAGAAAAAAACUUUAUCCGUAAUCUAAAAAAGCAGAUCAAAUCUAUGGAUAUCUGAAUCCAUAAUCUAAAGUACCACAUCUAAGGGAAACUAAAUUUAAAAAUUCAAAAAACUUUUUUCAACAAUUAAUCUAUACUAUAAUUUUACUAUAGUUGUUGUACUUUGUGGGUUUGUAGAUCUUAGUUCAAUAGUUAUUUGUGAACUGCUGGAAAUUGUGGAAAGCUGUAGGCGACUUAAGGUAUUCCAAAGGCAAUUCAACAUUUCAUCAUUGCAGUAAUUUUCACAUAGGUUGAAAUCAAGAAACUCAUUUACAUUCCCAACAUUCCCAUUUGCAAUGGGGCUUUAACUUAUUUGCAUAUUUGAUGUUGACUUCAUUAAACAUUGAACAUUGAUCCCAUUCCACAUAUAAGAAAAUGAUACAAGAGAAGAGGGAAACUUCCAAGUCAAGCUUUGUUUAUAUUACAAACGUAUAACCCAAGUUUAAAACAACUAAAUAUAUUAAUAUUUAUGUUGGUAACUUUCCUAUGAACUUUUGUUUGAAGGUGAAAAUAUGAACUUUUGUUCCAAUAGGUAGAAUUAUUAUUGAAGUGAUGGCCACGAAUUGGAUCCAUUACUAAAUAAAUUUCAAUAAAUAAAUUUUAUACCCUUACUAUUAUUUAUCUAUGUAUUUUUCAUUUACUUUAUUUAUAAGAUUAAAUAUAUUUGGCUUCUUUCAACAAAAAUCAUGUUUAACUUUGAACCCCAUGAAGGUCAGGGGUAUUCACUGCCUCAAGUGUGGCCUGAAUUUGAGUCCUAUUAGUCGUGUUGAUUGUUUGGGCUUUACCUUAUUAUUGUAAUUCAUAAAAAAAAAAAAUUUUAACUUCAAAAUAUUUUAAAAUUAUAUUUAAGUUAGUUAUAUAUUGAUGUUGACAUGAAUUUAUUAAAUUAUUUUAUAUAAAAUUAAUUAGUUACCAUUAUUUAAAAGAUUAUAAUUGAAAAAAAUGAUUAAAAUAUAAAUUUGAAAAAAAUUAUUAAUCCCCUUGUGCUUCCAAGAAACUCAUUCCACAAAGGGUCCAUUCAUCCCAUAAAUGGAUUACCCUUUUUUCCACAAAGGGUCCAUGGAAAAGCCUCUUUUUCAAGUCUUCCAUUAAUUUGGAUGUGAUAGAAUACUAACAUUUACAUGACUGGUAAUCACCCACCGCUUACGCCGGGGUUUAAUGAAACAAUUUUUAUUAUUUAUUAUUUAUUUAAUAUUAAAUUUUGUUUAAAAUUUAUUAAAUAACAAUUAAUUAAUUAAAACUGAUUAAAUAUUAAUUAAUUAUUUAAACUCUUUUUUUAAUAUGUUAUGUUUUUGUUAAUUAUAAAAUUUGAAUCUAUGAAAAUAUAUGAGAACCUUAAAUUUAUUCGCAAGUUAUUUUAUGGAUAAUUCAUUUUAAAUUAAUUUUAAAAGUGAAUAUUCAAAUCAAUCCUUGUGUCGGUCAAUAAUGUUGAGUAUGAGUUGGGUGAUUUACCCAGGCCAAGCAGGAUUUAUUGACCUCAAAUCAAUAUGAAAUCAAAUUAAAUAAUAAAAAACUUAAUUUAAUUAUAAAAAAUAUUAAUAUUAUAUAAAAAUAAUAUGUGAAGCAUAAAAUCAGAUUAUGAAAUUAGGUGAAGCUGGCCCAACUUCACGAUUAGACAUGCAAACUUUGUGCUUUCUACGCUACAAGAAAUAGGAAAAACCCCUCAUGCUUAAAUGGUUUACUUUUUGUGCUUUAUAUACUGCUAGUCAAAUAAAAUGGGAACAAACGUUGAAGAAUGAGAAAAAUGGGCGACUCCAGAGUCCAGAGGCAUGGCCAUCAACUCAUGCUGCUUGAAUGGCAGAAUAGAAAUGGGAGCAACAAAUGUUUGGGUUUUAUUUAUUAAGGUUUUGGACUUUGAGUUUGAUCAUGCUUGGGUUUGACUAAACAACUAUGUGACUAUAUGACUAAACAACUCAAGCCUUCUCAGAAAUAUUCCUCAUGUUUCACCCCGUCUAUGGAUUUGAAUAAGUUGAAGCGAUCUAGUGAUCGAAGAAAAAUGCAAUCUCAAAAUCAUGACGUUAUAAGUUCAGAAACUUAUGUUUGGAGAGUCUAGAGAAAUUAAAUUGAAACGACUUGUAUGACAUACAUUAGUUCCCUCUUUAAUUGUUGGAACUAUCUUCCCUGUAAUGAGUUCUGUUAAUUUGUCUUUUGCUGCUUUCUCUUGAAUGCAGGCUAACUCUUUUGGAUUUUCACAUUCCUAGCUCGUAGCAUUAACUGAUUCGGAUUAGGGAUUUUUCUGAAACCUUCUCUGCCUUCAGGUCAAACAGAAACUUAGUCCUGCAGCAUACAAAGAUUUUGUGGGUUAUACGAAGGAAAUAGUCCAAAGUGGUAAAAGAUUGGUAAUCCUCUGCAAUGCAUUGUGGAGUUAUUUUCAGGACCUGAGAGGCUUCCUCUUCUUGAAAGGUAUGCAUCUACUCCAAAAUAGUAUUAAAUUUGAAGACUGUGAGCAGUUACGUUACAUUGUCAGUAAGGCAUUGUGAAAAAUAAUUUAGUUGGCUUAACCAUGUAUACAUUGAGCAGACACUUUCUGAUACUCAUCCAGUUAAUGCCAUAUUGUGCGGUUUUAGGUUUCAUUGGAAGCUUGGCAAAAUUAAUUUCCUAUUCUCAGCAUGAGUUAAUGAUUUAUAAAGCUAAGCCCAACAUUGUCUGAAAUCAUCAAAUAUGUUAGAGCCUUAAAGGCUGCAAGUGCCAUCAGAGGUCUUAUCUGCAACACUAGCAAAGAAACUGUUGAAGGUUGGUCAGCAUGUAGCAAAGAAGCCGACAACAAGCUGGCCAUGAAGAUAGAGCCAUGCAGAAGCUGCUGCAGCAAGCAAAACUGUUCCUAUUUUGUUUAUUUUGUAAUCUUAAGUUGAUGUAAUGCUUUUUAGUUCAUUUUGAACUAUGUUAGGUUAGUGAUUGAUGUAAUUUGUUGAUGAAUGAGCUGUUAACUCAGCUUUGUUUAUGUGUGCAAGCUUGUUUUUACAAGUUUCAAUGUAUUAGUGGUAGUAGGUAGCAAUUAGGUGACCACAUACUGAUUUUGACAAGCAAAUUGCUUGGUUUAUGUAUUGGCAUUAUGCCCUUGUUCAAAGUAGAAUGAAAUCAGUUUGUUUUCUUCCACAUACUCUCCAUUUUCUUUGUUUUUCUUCUUUCUUUUGUUUCAAAUUCGAUUGUUUCUUCUGCAAGUAUCGAGCCUUGUUGCUAAAGCCAUAAGCUGAACUUGUUUGCUCUUUGUUUCUAACACCAACAGAAACAAAUUGCCACUAUUCUUUAGCCUGUCAUUCAUUUCCAUCCCCCUUUUUAGCUUGCAACUAUUAUCCAUUAUUUUUACUGGAUCUUACCCUCUGUGUCAUCUGUUACAGAUUCAAGGGUUACGUGCCUGCGAGAUAUCAUUCUUUGUAUGAGCACUACCUCGAAACAAGUAAAAGAAAUGCCUGAAAAUCAGAGGAACUAAACUUAUCUGGUCAAAACAGUAAUUAUACGCUGCCGCUUGCCAAUGUGAUCGGUUAGAAGUGAAAGAUUGAGACUUUGGCAGCAUUGUACUUUCUAAUUCUAGAUCAACAAUCUUUGAAGAAAUAUUAUACAAACAUUAUGGAAGGUUUGUACGUAGUAUACUGCAACUUGGCACAGCAUUUGGAAGCUUUUGGAUGUGUAACCAGGACAGCUAAGUUGCUCAUUUGUGUGUGGAGGAAAGAAACUUAUUCAACACGAAGGUGGUGUUACACAUAGAAAACAAUAUUUCCAUAAUUAUUUGUUGCUACUACUGAGAUUAUGAAGGACUAGACCUAGUGACAGCUAACAUUUUGUACAAAUUGAAAUCAAACCAACUAAAAUAGCAGUGAAACUAAGAUAUGGCUUGUGGGAGUUUUUAUUUAGUUCCAAAAGAGCACUUUAAAUCCAGUCUUAACACAGUUGCUACAUAUAAACAUCGCAUUGCAAUCGACAAAUUUCACAACAAAAUUUUCUACAUGUUUCCACUACAAAAAUUUAUGGGGAAAUUAUCUACCACAAAAUAGUAGCAAGAAUCGACGGCCAUUUGCAUAUAGUAAAACCAUGUUUGCCUCCAAUAAGGAUUUAUGUACAGCACAGCUGCGAUACACAAUAGCACCAUCACGUAACAUGCAAAGAAGCUUGCAUAGAAGGCAUCCAUAUCAAUGAAACCAUGGUCUUCUUUGAUGCCAGAUGAAGCCUUCGGCGUCAGUGGUGUUGUGACCAUUGAACAAUUUUUUCCCACCAAUGAGCCACAAAGGAAAGGAUUCCCAAUAUAGUUGCUUUCAUCAAAUGCUCCCAAUUGUCCAAUCCUUUCAGGUGUCUUUCCAGAUAAAUUGUUAUAUGACACAUUGAAGUAUUCCAGAAAAUGUAACACCGCAAAUUCGGCAGGGAUAUUCCCUGUUAAAUUGUUGUAGGAAAGAUCUAGACUUUCUAUGUCCAUGAGGUUAGAAAAUGCUCGUGGCACUGCUCCGGUCAAGCUAUUAUGAGAAAGGUUCAAUGUGAAGAGUUUCAUAAUGUUUUUUGUUUCAAAACUAAUUUCACCGGUAAGCUUGUUGCAGGAGAGAUCAAUU
rnacentral:lncRNA from 1 species